rnacentral:rRNA from 1 species
CGUGAAAUCCUGUCUGAACAUGGGGGGACCACCCUCCAAGCCUAAGUACUCCUCAAUGACCGAUAGUGAACAAGUACCGUGAGGGAAAGGUGAAAAGCACCCCGACAAGGGGAGUGAAACAGAUCCUGAAAUCGGAAGCCUACAAGCAGUCGGAGCACCCAAGCGGUGUGACGGCGUACCUUUUGUAUAAUGGGUCAGCGACUUCAUGUUACGAGCAAGCUUAAGCCGUUAGGCGUAGGCGCAGCGAAAGCGAGUCUGAAUAGGGCGCUCGAGUUCGUGGCAUGACGACCCGAAACCAGGUGAUCUAUCCAUGAGCAGGUUGAAGGCUGGGUAACACCAGCUGGAGGACCGAACCCGUGAAUGUUGAAAAAUUCUGGGAUGACUUGUGGAUAGGGGUGAAAGGCCAAUCAAACCUGGACAUAGCUGGUUCUCCGCGAAAUCUAUUUAGGUAGAGCCUCGGACGAAUUCCUUAGGGGGUAGAGCACUGGAUGGAUGCGGGCUGCGCGAGUGGUACCAAUUCUAACCAAACUCCGAAUACCUAAGAGAACUAUCCGGGAGACACACGGCGGGUGCUAACGUCCGUCGUGAAAAGGGAAACAACCCUAACCAUCGUCUAAGGCCCCCAAGUAACGGCUAAGUGGGAAACGAUGUGGGACUACUUUGACAACCAGGAGGUUGGCUUAGAAGCAGCCAUCCUUUAAAGAAAGCGUAACAGCUCACUGGUCUAGUGGUCCUGCGCGGAAAAUGUAACGGGGCUAAAGCCGUUCGCCGAAGACAUGGGCUCAGCAAUGAGCGGUAGCGGAGCGUUCCGUAGGCCUGUGAAGGUAAGGCGUGAGCCUUGCUGGAGGUAUCGGAAGUGAGAAUGCUGACAUGAGUAACGACAAACAGUGUGAGAAACACUGUCGCCGAAAGACCAAGGGUUCCUGCGUAAAGCUAAUCUGCGCAGGGUUAGCCGGCCCCUAAGGCGAGGCCGAAAGGCGUAGUCGAUGGGAACCAGGUAUAAUAUUCCUGGGCCAGUCAGAAGUGACGAAUGACGUAACUUGUCUCCCCUUAUUGGAUUGGUGGGGGCAGGGAAGUUGUUCCUGGAAAUAACUCUGACGGAGACCGUACCCGAAACCGACACAGGUGGUCAGGUAGAGUAUACCAAGGCGCUUGAGAGAACUAUGCUGAAGGAACUCGGCAAAUUGCACGCGUAACUUCGGGAUAAGCGUGACUCUGUUUAGGGCAACCUUUGCAGAGUGGCACAGGCCAGGGGGUAGCGACUGUUUAGCAAAAACACAGGGCUCUGCGAAGCCGCAAGGCGACGUAUAGGGUCUGACGCCUGCCCGGUGCCGGAAGGUUAAAGGGAGGAGUGCAAGCUCCGAACUGAAGCCCCGGUAAACGGCGGCCGUAACUAUAACGGUCCUAAGGUAGCGAAAU